CGGGUCCCGACCCUGGUCACUUGCCUCUACCGUCAGCUGGUAGGAUUCCACCUCUUCCCGAUCCACAGGGCCACGGGUUCGGAUCACCCCAGAGCGAGGGUCGAUCUCAAAGACUUCAGAGGGGCUGCCCCCAGACCCCUCCAGCAGGCGAUUGGUGUCAGUAACCAAGAUGGUGAGUGUAGCCAGGGCACUUCGUCGGGGCAUGCCGUGGUCCUGCACCAGUGACUGGGUCCAGGGAGAAGAACUGGUUGGAGCGGCUAUCAAAGAGGGCAUCCAUGGUGUACUCCAGUCGACCUGCCUCACCCUCGUCCGGGUCGAUGGCCCUCAGGGAUGCAACAGGGCAGUGUGAGCUUGCCCUGUGGGGAAAGGUGGCCUCCAAUGCCCAGGAGGCGACAGCUCCAGGGGCAGCCUUCAGGAGCUGGUGGUAGGGGAAUAUGGGCCUCGGAUUCUGGACACCAAACCCUCAGGCCAUCGUGGUGGGGUACCAGGUGGCCAGUCAGCUC
rnacentral:lncRNA from 1 species